rnacentral:rRNA from 1 species
UACGGAGGGAGCUAGCGUUGUUCGGAAUUACUGGGCGUAAAGCGCGCGCAGGCGGCUUUCUAAGUCCGUCGGUGAAAGACCGGGGCUCAACCCCGUGUCAGCCAUGGAUACUGGGAGGCUGGAGACAGGUAGAGGGCAAGCGGAAUUCCGGGUGUAGCGGUGGAAUGCGUAGAGAUCGGGAAGAACAUCAGUGGCGAAGGCGGCCUGCUGGGCUGUUGCUGACGCUGAGGCGCGACAGCGUGGGGAGCAAACGAGG